CCGUCUUUAGCUCAGUUGGAAGAGCGUGAGACUGUAAUGGGAUCCCUACAACCAAUCUCAAUGUCACCCGUUCGAGCCGGGUAAGACGGA